CCCUUAGAUGUCCGGGGCCGCACGCGCGCUACACUGUAGGAAUCAGCGUGGCUUUCUCCCUGACCCGAAAGGGUUGGGAAACCCGUUGAAUCUCCUUCGUGAUAGGGAUUGGGGCUUGAAAUUGUUCCCCAUGAACGAGGAAUUCCCAGUAAGCGCGAGUCAUAAGCUCGCGUUGAUUACGUCCCUGCCCUUUGUACACACCGCCCGUCGCUACUACCGAUUGAACGGUUUAGUGAGGGCCUCGGAUUGGUCUCGGCCCGCUCUUUACCGGGCGGCGCCGUUGGUCGAGAAGACGCUCGAACUUGAUCGUUUAGAGGAAGUAAAAGUCGUAACA
rnacentral:rRNA from 1 species